GAUGGUGUUCUCAUUGUUUUGGAAGAUGAUUUCCACGAAAUCAUGGAGAGUUGUUCCUAUGACAGAGGCACCGGAGUAUGGAGAGUCCGG